rnacentral:lncRNA from 1 species
AGAGAGUUGAUUGGCUUAGCCAUGAUUAACUAGUGGAGCGUUAGCUCAAGAAAUAGAAUGCCCACACCCAGUUGAGAGCUGCUGGUUCCCCAUAAUUAUCCCCAAACACAACACUUUGCGAGUGUUUCACAGAACCAGUGUGAGGCAUUAGUUUUCUGUUCAGUGAGGUUAAAACAUUGUCCUUACACACUGAAUCCCCACCAACCACCCUACUCUUAAUACCUCUAUUUCCCUUUCUAUCCAAAGAAGGAGAGGCAGUAGGGGUAAUGGCCCAGGGAGGAGAUCCUUAGGACUACUCAAGGGUCCAGCCCUUCAUUUUCCUGGCUGCAUCUUCUCCAUUCCAACCUUAUUGGACACUUGCUGACCUGUGCCCUACAUUGCCCAACCUCUCUUCUGCAUUUUCCUCCUCCCCACCUACCUCCAUCUGCAGCCUGAUAAUGGCACCAUCACACCCACUGGAACACAGACUUGUGUGAUGAAAAUGUGUAUCCAGCUAAAGGCAGAGUCCUUGCUUUCUAACCCCACUACCUCCACCUGCCACUACCCCUGUGAUUUUUUUUCUAUUUUUUUAGUUGUAGUUGGACCCAAUACCUUCAUUUUUUUGUUUUUAUGUUGUGCUGGGGAUUGAACCUAGGGCCUCAUAUGUCUAGAUGAGUGCUCUACUGCUAAGCCAUGACUCCAGCCCAACCCCUUCUCUAAACAAAAUUUCUUCUCGACAAAAUGCAGUUGACAGAGCUAUAAUGUAAGGUGGCAAGAUAGUGGUUCCUGUGACAGGUAUGGAUGGAAGAGGGCAUGAAGGGUACCUACGGUGCUGGCUAUAUUCUAUCUUGAUGUGGAUGCUAAUUGCAUGGGUCAGUUCACUUUCUGAAAACUUGAUGUUAAAUACUUGUGAUUUGUUCGCUUUUCUGUUUGUAUGUUAUACUUCAAAUAAGGUUUGCUUAUAGAUGUAGUUGGUGGUCCCUGUCUUAGGGUCGCUGUAAGAUUCAAAUACUUAAAAUUGCUUUCAAGUAAGCAAUUUGAGAGCUAUGAACUACUAAGUGUAUGAAAGGGUAGUCACCUACCUCUGUAUUGUAGGUAAACGUGGCUAGAAUUUUAUCCCUUUAGCAUUGUUGGGCAACAUUUGUUCCAAUACAUCUAUCAUACAUAAAUAUUUGUUCAGGGACCAAAACUGCUUUUUGUUUUAAUCUUUCUGUUCUCGUUUUUUUUUUUUUUUUUGGUAAGAUUUUUUUUUUCAUAGUGCUGGGGAUUUAAGCUAGGGCUUCAUGCAUGCCAAGCAAGCACUCUACCAUUGAGGUAUAUCCCCAGUCCAAUUUAGGAAAAAAAAAUUAUUUUUUAAAUUUGGAAUUGGGGAUUGAAUUCAUGGCCUCAUGCCUCGUCCUUGGGUACCUUAGGUGAGUACUCUACCACUGAGUUAUACCCCGUAUCUUUUAUUUUAAGACAGGGUCUCACUAAAUUGCUGAGGCUGGCUUCAAACUUGCCUUCCUCCUCCUGCCUCAGCCUGCUGAGAUUACAGGCAUGUGCCACCAUGCCCGGCUCCAUUUUUUUUUUUUUUAAUGUAUUGGCUACUUUGCUGUUUAAAUACAGGAUUCUGAAUGUGGUUUAACCUACUUGAUCCCAGAAAUGAUUACUUUUCUACCUCUUGGAUUCAUAACCUGUCUGCUCUAGCUUCUGUUUCUCCUGUGUUGCUGUCUCUAUUCCAGUUUAUUUGAGCCAGAGAAUAGAUAUCCCUACUUGGGGCUAUCUAUGCUUUUGGCUGAGCCAGUAAAUUUAGAUUGAGGAAAGCAUAUGGCUGCCUGCCUGGGCCUUGGGGUAGUAUACAGACCUUCACCUGUGGGAGGGCAAGAUCCAAAGUGCUGAGACUGCAGGAAGUGAAGGCAGACCAUAUAACAUCAGGACUGGGGAGUCAUGAAUUGUCCAGCCCCACAUUUUAUGAGUGAGAGGACUGAGUCCCACACACAGUGUCAGACCAACCUUGAGAGGGAUCACUGUCACUUUGUAUGUCCUGCACUGCCUGGCUCAGUGCUUUUUGCCUAAAGAGACUGCAUUUCUCUUGUGUGUGAAGAGUUCAGGAAUUAGGAAUUGAGUGCAGAGAAAAUUGCCUUAUGCUGCUGGCACCAAGAUGCCAGAUACUCUGAGAAUUAUGAUGGACAACAUCUCCCUUCUAGGUUUUGGCACUUACCCUUCUCAACAUUUCCCUUCAGGGCAGAGGGCAGGCAAUCUGGUAUGUGAGGACUUAGAGCCUGAGGAGCUUUCCUUAGGGGUCCAUCCCAAGGCAGAUAGAGACCUGGGCCUCUAUGGGGGGGGGGGGCGGUUUGGCAUACCCAUUUAAGAGCACUACGUGCUGCUUCCUGCCUGAGCCUUUG